UUGGCAUGGUGAUGACAGUUUUAUUGUCAUAUGAUUAUUCAUGUGAUUAAAGACAACCUCCUACUCAUUCUGA